AACUGGUCAUGGCGACCUUCCCUCUUCUUGCUUUACCCUCCCCUACCAUCUCCGAGCCCCCGCGAAGUGGUGGACCUCUGGGCCUCACCCCGAGCUGGCCAAUGCUUGCAAUGGGAACCGUCUGGUUUCCCGCUGUCCCUGCACCCACUCGAGCACAGCACACCGUUUGGUGACUACAGGGCCUGCGCAUCCCCAGGUGCCAUAGGGAAGGGGCUGUCAGAAAGGCCAACGCGCUUGAGCGCAAGAGCCCUCACUUCGCUGAUGGCCGCAGCACACGGGUGGGGCUGGAGGCUGGUUUUUGACACAGUGUGAACCCCGCAAAGGUGGGGGUGCCUAGCGAGAUAGAGAUCUGGGAGGGAAGUUUCUGCUCCGAGGCCCUGGAAAUCACGUGGCCUUACAACUGCCUUAAGGCCUGGUGCCUGGAAACCCCCGUCUCUCUUCAAAGCCCCGCCCCAAAACUCAGGGGUUUUUGUGUGAGUUUUGUUUUUUCACUGGUCAGGGCUGGAAGACACAGCAGCGAUAGUUUCCUUUCAGCCGACCCCACUCGCUUUACAAAUAAGGAAACGACUCCUAUUGGGGAAAUGACUCGCUCAAGUCUACACAGCAGUGGCCGGCUGAUCCGACCCUUAGAAUCCACCCAUAGGAGGAGCCGAGCUCGAGGUCGCGCGAGCGGAGGCGGGGAGGUGGAGGCGAGUCCGGGAAGACUCACCGCGCACUUGGAGGUAGAGCUCGGGGUCCAGGUCCGGCCGGGGCGGCGGUGCCCCCGGGCCCUGGCGCAGCAGCAGCGCGGCCGGUCUCUUGGCCAGGCGGCCUCCGCCCGCGUCCUCCACGAGCCAGCACUCGAUCACGGCCGGUCCCGCCGAGACCGCGCUCGCCCAGCCUGGAUCUUGGUCUUGGGAAACCAGGGGCGCUGAUGCUGGGCAGCUUCCACCCCGCUUUACAUAUAUCCAGUGCUUCUGUGGCAUGAUGCUGGGGGGCGCAUAGGUGGGCCGUCGGAGCCCCGCCCCAG